rnacentral:misc_RNA from 1 species
GCCCAUGCUGUGUCGGGACGAGAUGGAGGAGUGGUCAGCAUCAGAAGCCAACUUGUUCGAGGAGGCACUCGACAAAUACGGCAAAGACUUCAAUGACAUACGUCAAGACUUUCUUCCUUGGAAGUCACUUAAAAGCAUUGUGGAGUACUAUUAUAUGUGGAAAACAACUGAUCGCUAUGUGCAGCAGAAACGAAUUAAAGCAGCAGAGGCAGAGAGCAAGCUUAAACAAGUCUACAUUCCCAACUAUAACAAGCCCAAUCCAGCUGCCAUUAAUGGGAAGAUGAAUGGGGUUGAUGGCCAGGUUUCGGGAAGAGCUUGUGAAAGCUGUUAUGCUGCCCACUCCUCUCAGUGGUACUCCUGGGGACCAGCUCACAUGCAGUGUAGACUCUGCUCAUCCUGUUGGAUCUAUUGGAAGAAAUAUGGUGGGCUAAAGAUGCCAACAAGACUGGACGGAGAACGACCAACACCAAAUCAGAGACAGGAGAGAAUCGCCCAAAUAAACUCAAUGAGAAUGCACAGGUGUACUAUAGCUGGAUGUGGAAAGGAGUUUCGACUGAAGGCCCACCUAGCUCGGCACCUGGCAACUGCUCAUGGUUUAGUGGUGCGCUCUGGCAGUCCCAGGCCCGUGAUGAAAACCAGAGCAGCUUUCUGUCUGAUCACAACACCGCUUACUCGGAUCUCGCGGCGACUGUGUAAAGACAUCCUCAAUCCACGGAGAGCAGCUCGCUCACCAUUUAUACCCGUCAACAUAGCAGCCAUCAAGCAAGAAUGCCAACUUCGUCUUACUGAGGGGGAAGAAUACGUGCCAAACAUAAAGCCUCGUAGCCCGACCACCCUGGAGCCAGUGGUGGCUCGUCUCGGAAUCAAUACCAAAAUGGAGAAACCGGCCCUUCUACACAAGUCAGAAAAUGAUCAUAAAAAACCAGAGAAAAUUUUCUUUCCUCCAUCUGCCUCACAGCCACAAUUCAAAGCACACACCACAAGUCCUUCCAAGCUUAAUGCUGGCUCUCCCUCGAUCAUGAAGAAGAGAGGCUAUGAACAAGCAAACGGAGUUGAUGGUCCAGUAGCCAAGCGUCCAAAUAUGGGGGUUAUACGACAGAUUGGAUCUUCCAUGAGGUCUCAAGUUGAAGCUCAGGAAACAGCUGCAGGCCCAGGAUUUCAAGAGAACGGCCAGAAAUCCAUGGCGGAAUGUGCUAAUUAAACCACCGAUAAUGGGCGGAGAUUCGGAGGUUGUGGUGUUGGAUUGACAGGGUCGAGACUUUAUGAAUUAAAAAUGAAAAAGGUUUUCUCUGGGAGGUAGCCAGGCAAUUUAACAUCAUGCAGAAGGAAGAAAUCCAUUGUGAUGCACUCAGUUUGAAACUGUUGCUUUGAAUAGCUGAAACAGUAUAGUGUCAAAAAGAAAAAGACUGAAGUUCACAAAAUAUUAAGCAAUACCGUGUCCAACUUCCCUCUACUGCAUAAGGAGAAGUCAGUAUUACCAAGAUUGGGAAAGUGUAAUUCUGUCUACAUGUCUCCAAGGAAAUUAUCCUUUGUACAGAUGAUGUAAAUUAUAGGCAAACGUGUAAAUAUAACUGGGCCAAGGUUCCCAUAGUUUAGUUUGGAUGAAUGAGUGAUUUUCUUACCUAUUUUCUAUUUGAUUCUUUUGUACUUAUUUUUCUUUGAAAAUUGCCUGCUUCUAGGUCUUUUAAACGAGUGUUCUCUCUCCUAUCAGGGAAGUUGAGUGUUGAGACUCUAGAAUAAUUUAUUUGUGUUGAUGUGACUAUUGUGUUCAUCAUUCAAUGAUGGUUUUUUUUUCUUGUACAGAACUUCAGUAAAUGCAUUCAUGUUGAACAUUUCUGUCCUUCCUUGCAACAUCUCACAUCAAAGUGGAUGACUCGUUUGCCAUCUGAAUCAUUAAUUUAUUUAUUAUUGGAUUGUAAUCAUGUAAUGUUUGGUACUUGUAUACAUCAAGACUCUCUCAUCAUUGAAUAACGAAGUCAUUUUGCCUUGCAUUUGCAUGAAAAAAAAAACAAAAUGUGUAAUUUUCAUACAUGUGUAAUUUUUUCAGAAAUAAACAACUGCAAACUUU